ACUCCUACGGGAGGCAGCAGUGGGGAAUAUUGCACAAUGGGCGCAAGCCUGAUGCAGCCAUGCCGCGUGUAUGAAGAAGGCCUUCGGGUUGUAAAGUACUUUCAGCAGUGAGGAAGGUGGUAGUGUUAAUAGCACUAUCAUUUGUACGUUAGCUGCAGAAGAAGCACCGGCUAACUCCGUGCCAGCAGCCGCGGUAAUACGGAGGGUGCGAGCGUUAAUCGGAAUUACUGGGCGUAAAGCGCAUGCAGGUGGUUGUUAAGUCAGAUGUGAAAGCCCGGGGCUCAACCUCGGAAUUGCAUUUGAAACUGGCAGACUAGAGUACUGUAGAGGGGGUAGAAUUUCAGGUGUAGCGGUGAAAUGCGUAGAGAUCUGAAGGAAUACCGGUGGCGAACGGCGGCCCCCGUGGACAGAUACUGACACUCAGAUGCGAAAGCGUGGGAGCAAACAGGAUUAGAUACCCCUGGUAGCGACUGA
rnacentral:rRNA from 1 species